rnacentral:rRNA from 1 species
AGUGAACGCUGGCGGUAGGCCUAACACAUGCAAGUCGAACGGCAGCACAGUAAGAGCUUGCUCUUACGGGUGGCGAGUGGCGGACGGGUGAGGAAUACAUCGGAAUCUACUUUUUCGUGGGGGAUAACGUAGGGAAACUUACGCUAAUACCGCAUACGACCUACGGGUGAAAGCAGGGGAUCUUCGGACCUUGCGCGAUUGAAUGCGCCGAUGUCGGAUUAGCUAGUUGGCGGGGUAAAGGCCCACCAAGGCGACGAUCCGUAGCUGGUCUGAGAGAAUGGUCGGCGACACUGGAAGUGAGACACGGUCCAGACUCCUACGGGAGGCAGCAGUGGGGAAUAUUGGACAAUGGGCGCAAGCAUGAUCCAGCCAGACCGCGUGGGUGAAGAAGGCCUUCGGGUUGUAAAGCCCUUUUGUUGGGAAAGAAAAGCAGCAGGUUAAUACCCAGCUGUUCUGACGGUACCCAAAGAAUAAGCACCGGCUAACUUCGUG